rnacentral:rRNA from 1 species
UGCCAGCCGCCGCGGUAACACCUGCGCCACGAGUGGCAAUCACGUUUAUUGGGCCUAAAGCGUUCGUAGCCGGAUAGGUAAGUCUUGGGUGAAAUCGUUGCGCUUAACAAAACGACGUGCUUGAGAUACUGCUUGUCUUGAGACCGGGAGGCGUGAAGGGUAUUUUUGAGGGAGCGGUAAAAUGCUAUAAUCUCAAGAGGACCACCUGUGGCGAAGGCGCUUCACGAGAACGGGUCUGACGGUGAGGAACGAAAGCUAGGGGAGCAAACCGGAUUAGAUA